rnacentral:rRNA from 1 species
GACGAACGCUGGCGGUGUGCUUAACACAUGCAAGUCGAACGGUAAGGCCCUUUCGGGGGUACACGAGUGGCGAACGGGUGAGUAACACGUGAGUAACCUGCCCUCAUCUCUGGGAUAACAGUCGGAAACGGUUGCUAAUACUGGAUAUGAGCUUGCAAGGCAUCUUGUGGGUUGGAAAGAUUUUUUUGGUUGGGGAUGGACUCGCGGCCUAUCAGCUUGUUGGUGAGGUAGUGGCUCACCAAGGCUUCGACGGGUAGCCGGCCUGAGAGGGCGACCGGCCACAUUGGGACUGAGAUACGGCCCAAACUCCUACGGGAGGCAGCAGUGGGGAAUAUUGCACAAUGGACGGAAGUCUGAUGCAGCAACGCCGCGUGCGGGAUGACGGCCUUCGGGCUGUAAACCGCUUUCAAUUGUGACGAAGCUUUUCGUGACGGUAGCAGUAGAAGAAGCACCGGCUAACUACGUG